rnacentral:rRNA from 1 species
GAUGAACGCUGGCGGCGUGCCUCAUACAUGCAAGUCGAGCGAACAGACGAGGAGCUUGCUCCUCUGACGUUAGCGGCGGACGGGUGAGUAACACGUGGAUAACCUACCUAUAAGACUGGGAUAACUUCGGGAAACCGGAGCUAAUACCGGAUAAUAUAUUGAACCGCAUGGUUCAAUAGUGAAAGACGGUUUUGCUGUCACUUAUAGAUGGAUCCGCGCCGCAUUAGCUAGUUGGUAAGGUAACGGCUUACCAAGGCAACGAUGCGUAGCCGACCUGAGAGGGUGAUCGGCCACACUGGAACUGAGACACGGUCCAGACUCCUACGGGAGGCAGCAGUAGGGAAUCUUCCGCAAUGGGCGAAAGCCUGACGGAGCAACGCCGCGUGAGUGAUGAAGGUCUUCGGAUCGUAAAACUCUGUUAUUAGGGAAGAACAAAUGUGUAAGUAACUAUGCACGUCUUGACGGUACCUAAUCAGAAAGCCACGGCUAACUACGUG